rnacentral:rRNA from 1 species
GAUGAACGCUGGCGGCGUGCCUAAUACAUGCAAGUCGAGCGAACAGACGAGGAGCUUGCUCCUCUGACGUUAGCGGCGGACGGGUGAGUAACAUGUGGAUAACCUACCUAUAAGACUGGGAUAACUUCGGGAAACCGGUGCUAAUACCUGAUAACAUGGUGAACCGCAUGGUUCAACAGUGAAAUACGGUCUUGCUGUCACUUAUAGAUGGAUCCGCGCCGCAUUAGCUAGUUGGUAAGGUAACGGCUUACCAAGGCAACGAUGCGUAGCCGACCUGAGAGGGUGAUCAGCCACACUGGAACUGAGACACGGUCCAGACUCCUACGGGAGGCAGCAGUAGGGAAUCUUCCGCAAUGGGCGAAAGCCUGACGCAGCAACGCCGCGUGAGUGAAGAAGGUCUUCGGAUCGUAAAACUCUUUUAUUAGGAAAGAACAAAUGUGUAAGUAACUAUGCACGUCAUGACGGUACCUGAUCAGAAAGCCCCGGCUAACUACGUG